rnacentral:rRNA from 1 species
GGAUGAUCCUACCCAUGAGUUAGGAAGUAACGGCUGGAAACGGUCGCUAAUACCAAAUACGCUCCGUAUUUCAACCGUUACGGGGGAAAGGGUGGCCUCUGCUUGCAAGCUACUGCUCAUGGAUGAGUCCGCCGUCCCAUUAGCUAGUUGGGUGGGUAACGCCCACCAAGGCGACGAUGGGUAGCCGGUCUGAGAGGAUGACCGGCCACACUGGGACUGGAACACGGCCCAGACUCCUACGGGAGGCAGCAGUGGGAAUAUUGCGCAAUGGGCGAAAGCCUGACGCAGCGACGCCGCGUGGAAGGGAUGAAGGUCCUCGGAUCGUAAACCUCUGUCAGGAGGGAAGAACCGCCACGGUGCUAACCAGCCGUGGUCUGACGGUACCUCCAAAGGAAGCACCGGCUAACUCCGUGCCAGCCGCCGC